rnacentral:lncRNA from 1 species
UUCAAAGGUAGAAUGAGAAAUUUUAGCAGCCAUCAAAGAAAAAAGGUUAGUAAAUGUUGUUUAUUCCACUUAUGUGCUGAUUGUAGUGUUCAUACUUGCGAGUUGAGUGAUUGUUGAAACUGGUGAGAUUGUAUGGAUGCCUAUAACAAGUUUGUUGAAAUGCCCAAACAAACGUAGAAAAAAAAAAAAAAAAACUCAGGAAAAUUAAUUUAGUUACGAGUCAAUUCUCCAUUCUGUUAUUUGUGAUCCUCUCUCCUUGCAUCUAAGUGCGAAUGUAAGGGACUUGCAGGGAGAAUGGCAUAAAUAUAUAUACAUAUAUGUCAUAUACAUCCUUAAAAAUGUUCAUUUUUCUAGGAAUUCGCCUCCUUCAAACUUAGAUGAGGAGCCGCCGUGAUAAGAGCAUUCUCAAAUAACUGUUACAGAAGAUAGUGGAAAGAUGUGAAGUUAAAAAGUGGAAGCUAUGAUCAUAGAAAUGCCGGUAAAUUUUGCUCUGCAACCUUGUUAAUGUUUGUAUCAAUGCUAGCAUAUGAUUAUGUUAAUACAUAUGUUACAUGUUUGUUGCCUGAACCGCUGCAAGUUCUUGACUUUAUUGUGCUAAGAAUGAAUGCCAUUUCUAGGAAGGAGCCAACUGCCUUAGUGAGUUUCCUGCGUCAUGUUGAUGCUAAUUGCUGGUUUUGG